CCUUAUCCAACAUCACUUUCUGGACUACCUAGAAUCCAACUAUCAUGUCUUUCACCAAGAUGUCAUCUUGUGGGCUAGUCCGUUGGACCUACUUGACCAAUCAGACACUAUCCUAAUCUCCAUAAUGUGAUACCUCCUGAGAGGCAGCCAUUUGACACAGACACUUUUCUCAGUUUGCUCAGGCUCCAACGCCAUGAUCUGCUAUGCAACUCUCUCCACAGUCUCCAUCAUGGAUACCUGCCUUUUAUUCCAACACCUAAUGUUUUAGUAUUAAAUCAUUCCAUAUGAUAAGAGUAGAGAGGUGAAAGAGGAAGACUCAUUCAACGGAAGUUGAUCUGCUGUGUUUUCACAAUUAUUCCAUACAUAACAUUUUCUAAUAUCUUUGUUACUUCUUUUUUUGACUCAGUUACAUAGAAAUAUUUUUCUUAAUUUCCAAAUAUAUGAGUAUAUUCCUUAUAAUUUUGCUAUUGAUCUUUAAUCUCAUUCCAUUGAUUUUAAAGAUUGUUCUCUUUAAGACUGCAAUACAUUGAAUUUGUUAGGCCUUUCUAUUGCCUAUCAUAUGGUCACAUUUGGUGAAUUUUCAAUGUGCUCUUGAGGGAAAAAAAAAGUGUAUUCUAGAGUUGAUUCGUUUAAUGCAGUAUAAAUAAUAUUAUGUUAUGUUAUUUUAAUUUUUCUGAAUACUUAGUGAUUUUUAAAAAACCAUCCAUACCGAUUUCCAAGAAGGAGUAUUAAAACCUCCACUAGUAAUUGUGGAUGUGCCUAUAUCUGUUUUUAGUUGUCUCCAAUUUUGAAUUUUUUAUCUUUAGUAUGGAAAAAUAAGCAUUUUUAUUUCUUGUAAAAAUUAAUUAUUUAUUAUAAAAUAUCCGUUUUUAUUAAUGGCAAAUAUCUUUGUCUUGAUGCCUACUUUAU
rnacentral:lncRNA from 1 species